AUUGAACGCUGGCGGAAUGCUUUACACAUGCAAGUCGAACGGCAGCACGGACUUCGGUCUGGUGGCGAGUGGCGAACGGGUGAGUAAUGUAUCGGAACGUGCCCAGUCGUGGGGGAUAACGUAGUGAAAAUUACGCUAAUACCGCAUACGAUCUAUGGAUGAAAGCGGGGGAUCGCAAGACCUCGCGCGAUUGGAGCGGCCGAUAUCAGAUUAGGUAGUUGGUGGGGUAAAGGCCCACCAAGCCAACGAUCUGUAGCUGGUCUGAGAGGACGACCAGCCACACUGGAACUGAGACACGGUCCAGACUCCUACGGGAGGCAGCAGUGGGGAAUUUUGGACAAUGGGCGAAAGCAUGAUACAGCCAUUCCGCGUGCAGGAUGAAGGCCCUCGGGUUGUAAACUGCUUUUGUACAGAACGAAAAGGUUUCUACUAAUACUAGGAGCUCAUGACGGUACUGUAAGAAUAAGCACCGGCUAACUACGUGCCAGCAGCCGCCGUAA
rnacentral:rRNA from 1 species